AGAGUUUGAUCCUGGCUCAGAGCGAACGCUGGCGGCAGGCCUAACACAUGCAAGUCGAACGGACCCUUCGGGGUUAGUGGCGGACGGGUGAGUAACACGUGGGAACGUGCCUUUAGGUUCGGAAUAGCUCCUGGAAACGGGUGGUAAUGCCGAAUGUGCCCUUCGGGGGAAAGAUUUAUCGCCUUUAGAGCGGCCCGCGUCUGAUUAGCUAGUUGGUGAGGUAAUGGCUCACCAAGGCGACGAUCAGUAGCUGGUCUGAGAGGAUGACCAGCCACAUUGGGACUGAGACACGGCCCAAACUCCUACGGGAGGCAGCAGUGGGGAAUCUUGCGCAAUGGGCGAAAGCCUGACGCAGCCAUGCCGCGUGAAUGAUGAAGGUCUUAGGAUUGUAAAAUUCUUUCACCGGGGACGAUAAUGACGGUACCCGGAGAAGAAGCCCCGGCUAACUUCGUGCCAGCAGCCGCGGUAAUACGAAGGGGGCUAGCGUUGCUCGGAAUUACUGGGCGUAAAGGGCGCGUAGGCGGACAUUUAAGUCAGGGGUGAAAUCCCAGAGCUCAACUCUGGAACUGCCUUUGAUACUGGGUGUCUUGAGUGUGAGAGAGGUAUGUGGAACUCCGAGUGUAGAGGUGAAAUUCGUAGAUAUUCGGAAGAACACCAGUGGCGAAGGCGACAUACUGGCUCAUUACUGACGCUGAGGCGCGAAAGCGUGGGGAGCAAACAGGAUUAGAUACCCUGGUAGUCCACGCCGUA
rnacentral:rRNA from 1 species